GUUGCUCGAAACUUUGCACACCUCUUCGUGGUGGGCGGCAGGCAAUGUCAUCUGAUUGAAAUGGCGGCUGAGAUACAAAG
rnacentral:ribozyme from 1 species